rnacentral:rRNA from 1 species
AGCGAACGCUGGCGGCAGGCCUAACACAUGCAAGUCGAACGAAGUCUUCGGACUUAGUGGCGGACGGGUGAGUAACACGUGGGAACGUGCCUUUAGGUUCGGAAUAACUCAGGGAAACUUGUGCUAAUACCGAAUGUGCCCUUCGGGGGAAAGAUUUAUUGCCUUUAGAGCGGCCCGCGUCUGAUUAGCUAGUUGGUGAGGUAAAGGCUCACCAAGGCUACGAUCAGUAGCUGGUCUGAGAGGAUGACCAGCCACAUUGGGACUGAGACACGGCCCAAACUCCUACGGGAGGCAGCAGUGGGGAAUCUUGCGCAAUGGGCGAAAGCCUAACGCAGCCAUGCCGCGUGGAUGAUGAAGGUCUUAGGAUUGUAAAAUCCUUUCACCGGUGAAGAUAAUGACUGUAGCCGGAGAAGAAGCCCCGGCUAACUUCGUGCCAGCCGCCGCCGUAAAAC